GACGUAGGGGGCCAGCGUUGCUCGGAAUUACUGGGCGUAAAGGGUCCGUAGGCGGUGCGGUAAGUCGGGAGUGAAAUCUCUGGGCUUAACUCAGAGGCUGCUUCCGAAACUACCGUGCUAGAGUGCGAGAGAGGCAAGUGGAAUUGCGGGUGUAGCGGUGAAAUGCGUAGAUAUCGGGAGGAACACCAGUGGCGAAGGCGGCUACCUGGACCAGCACUGACACUGAGGCACGAAAGCGUGGGGAGCAAACAGG
rnacentral:rRNA from 1 species